AAAUGAAAAUUGAAAAAGAACUUGAUCUAAGCAAGUCUGAAAUCUCAAAUGUAAUAAACAAACACCCAAUUGGCAAUGGUGCCAAAUUGAUAAUAGGUUUUUAGUCAAUUAUCCUAAAACACCAAUCAUGUCGUUGUAGUAUUUUAGGUUGUCAAUCCAAAUGGGUGUGAUGCUAGCAAUCAAGAUGCAAUCAGAGUUCACAGAGUCAAGCCAAGCAAUAACAGGACUUGGAGUGUUCUAGUAGUCCUAAGUGAACAUGCAGGAAACAGAAAAAUCAAGCAGAAAUAAUAAAACACUCGACCAACACAACUCGUUGCAUAGACCUGGGUGUGGUCGAGUGACUGGUCGAGUAACAGAUAAAAAAUAUAACAGGGAUACUCGAUUGCACAGUCUGUUGCCAGACAACUGGGUGGUCGAGUAUCAGGUCGAGUAGCAGGAGAAAAAUACAAAAACUAAGCAACAACUAACAAGAUGCAGCAAACAACAAUAGAGUAAACAAAGAAAUCAAUUAGAUAAAGAAUUCACGAGGAUGGGGUAAUUGAGUAGUUUCGUUUCCUCAGUUUACAGGUGAUUGACAUGUUAAAUAAAUUAUCCCUAGACAACAAGUUCGAUAACCAAAUCUAAGUGCCACCGCAACAGAGACCCUCAAGUUCAACCAGUCCAGACUCAAUCACCAUUGACGAGAGCUAACCUAACAGGCAUUAUGAAUCAACAAGUUAAAGCCAAAACGCUCCCUGCAACCAAUACCUUGGUACAGAGCCACAAAUCUCUGGAAUUAGUGGUUCAAACAUUUCAUCGAACACCUUUUGGGCGCGGAAAUGUCUGGGCUCAAAUUCCAGUUGAUCAGAAAGCAAUAGGCAUUAAGAACAACUAAUCCAGAAGGAAUCUAUAAAUCAAACUCAACCACCUAGCAUACUGAGAAUUCUAAACUACUCUAACCCAUCCUCAGUAACCUAAUCACUACUCAGAAAUCAUAGCAGAAAGCAUAAACAAUGAAUACAAUGGAAACAUGAUAG
rnacentral:sRNA from 1 species